rnacentral:rRNA from 1 species
UACGGAGGGUGCAAGCGUUAUCCGGAUUUACUGGGUUUAAAGGGUGUGUAGGCGGACUUUUAAGUCAGGGGUGAAAUCCCGGGGCUCAACCCCGGAACUGCAUUGGAUACUGCCUUGCUUGAGUACUGGAGAGGGAACUGGAAUUUACGGUGUAGCAGUGAAAUGCGUAGAGAUCGUAAGGAAGGCCAGUGGCGAAGGCGAGUUCCUGGACAGUUACUGACGCUGAGGCACGAAGGCCAGGGGAGCAAACGGG